rnacentral:lncRNA from 1 species
AUGGCACCACCUCAAGGGUUUCAAGGCGGGCUCUAUUAUAUUACCACGUGAUAGAACUUCUAUGUUAGGUGCGUCCAAGGUGGACAGCGACAACGGCCCAAUACGGGUCAAUGCCUAAGGUCACAAGUUCACGUGACAGAUCUCAGCAUAAGUAUAGGUUAUAUACAUUUGUAAUCUCAAGUUUUUAUAAGCAUGUGUACGCAUUUGCAUGUGUACGCAUUUACAUUUGUUCUAACCUUGCAUUGGAGAAUUUCUUGAGAUUCCUCCGUCGAGCAAGCCCAAUGGGGAAGGUCAUCGGCAUAUGAGCUCCUGGUAUGAUAUUUCCUUUGGGUCUUCAUGAUAAAUUAUAUAAGGAAUGGUUAAGUUGGAUUCAUGAAGUGUUAUAUUGUUCCCGCAAAAUCCAACCAUGUCGUGACAUCUUUCUGAUUGUAGGAGAUGGAAUUAGUCAUAUCCUAUAAUUUAUCAUUACUAUUGGGAUAUGUUGUGCCUACCUAUGAUUGUGAUAACAUAUGUUAAAGUUGUGUUGCAGGAAUGCAUAUACUAAGUUUACAUAUGUCUAUAUUUGAAAGCAGGUCAAUAUAAAAUUUUGGCAAUUUUUGUUAUUGCAUCUAUAGCAUCACAGAUAUGUUUCAAAGAUGUGUAAGGUGACACAAUUUCUUCCAUGACCGUGGCAUAUGAUAAAUUGUAACUAAUUUGCUUGAACCAAAUUUUUAAUAUUGUUAAGAAAAUGGCAUGUAUAGUGUUGCUUGUAUGGCUAAAGCAUGAGAUAACAUAUUUUUAAUAUUGCUGUGGGUUUUGGACUAUAGUGAAUUGUAGUGUUGUUUCCACCAAUUCUCACAAGAUGUGAAUGAACUUUUAUGCUAUUAAUAGCACACGAAAUGUGCGUGACUAAUCAAUCAGGUUUGUCUACAAUUUUGCUUUCUUAUCUCAGUAUAGUCAUUUAAAUUAUACAUGACUAGUUAACUGUUAAAAUUGAUGCAUAAUUUGUGGAUUGACUGAGAAUGACAGAAAGCAUCCAGUGACAAGAACAAGGGUAUUAUACAAAUGAAUAAGGUUUGUAGUAAUUAUGGGACAAUUCUCAUUUGUAUUUUAUAUCUAUUCUUAUAUGAGAAUUUUGGUUGGUCAUGUGAUUAUAUAUAUGUUUACAAAGAAGUGGUGAACAUAUGAAGGCAUGAGGUAUGUAAUCCAUUCAAAGUAUGUGGCUUAAUUGAUAAGCAUGAAUUUCAAACAUGUAUUAUUGUUUGUGGUUUUUCCUAUGCCUUAAGAAUUUAAACAGUGCUUUGAUUAGUAAAUUUUUAUGUGUCAUAAGGGGAGAAGAAAAGAAACUUUUCAAGGCUAAUGUACGGCACAUAUUGGAGAUGUUUUCUAUGGAAGAAAAUAAUUUUGGUUGUUCCUUUUAUUUAAUUUAGUAUUUACAAAGCUAAUGCAUGAUUUUAAUGCUAUGUUUAGUAGUUUUGUACUAUGGAAAGAAAUAUAUAAAAAGGAAAGGAACAUGUUUAACUUAAGAAAACAUUUGAGCAAUUUAGUUUUUAAGUAAUUGACUCCAUAAUGAUAAGUAUUGACAUUCUUGUGGUGGAAUGAAACUUGUUCUAUAUGUGAUUAAUCAAGUAUGCUGUUAGGUUUUUGAGAUUAAUUUAAUGUCAAAGGGAGUCAUGAAGGAAUUAGUGCCAUUUGUUGGCAAGACUCGAAGUUCGAAUCUGGUUAUCAUAAUUUUGUCACUUACAGUUAAUUAAUCCAUGUGACCUCUUGUAUUGUUUCAGGACGGAGUUGACCAAUGCCUUUUCAACUAAGCAAGACACAAUGCCUUAGUUGAUGAUGGGACUAUGUUUUUGAGUUACUUCGGUCAACUUUGCUUCUUAAUUAGAAUAAUAGGGAUUAUCUUCUUACCUACAGGUGUGGAUUAGUUCUUUUAGUUUAAUUAAGAUGGCAUAGUAUGGGUUUUAUUUCAUCGAAGUUGUGAAAAUCUUCAUCUUGCCUACAAGUGUUGAAGUUUUUUAUGAAGGUACUUUUGUGACAUAAAAUCUAGUACUAGAAACUAGUUAAUUUUCUUGCCUACAUGUGUAAAUUAAUUUAGUUUCAUGAAGUUUAUUGGGAUAAAGUUCCAUGCCAUUAGUGACAAAUAUUUCCACAAUGAGCCCCAUAAAAGGUUGUGGUUUGAAGGCAUGGAAAUCGGUUGCGUCAUGACGUAUUUUGUGUCUCUUCAUGAGACUUCUUGAUGCAAAGUAUUGGACCCAUGAAGGUUAAUCAAGGAUUGCUAAGGUACGCAUUGUUUAAAUCUUAUGCUUGUAAAUCUUUUCAAUUUGAACUAUGAUGUUAGUUUAAAGGAUGAAAUUUGACUACUAAAGUUUCCUUUGGACAUCAAAAUUGAAAUGAUAUGAAAUUGAAUUUGUUAUGGAUGCUUAAAUUCAUGAUAGAUGCAUAUAAUUGUUUCUGGCAGAUUGAGUGUCUUGAUUUAAAUCGGGUGAAUGACACGUCUAAUGGUCACCAAAUGACCUGAAUUUUGGAUAUGUUCAACAUAUAAAUGUCUACUAUAUGUCUGCAAAUUUUCGUAAUUUUCUGCCAUGUAUGUUAAUUAUGGUGAAUUUACUAGUAAUCCAUGCUCGUAUAGACAGUUUUACCGGCAGAUUGUGUUGGUCUUUUUGAGACGUGACUUUAGACUACUAUUUUGACCCAAAACGGCUCUAUAUUUUUAUUUUAUGAAGAUUAGUAUGUCUGUUUUGAUUAAUAUAAAUUUGGUAGCAAUCAAGCUUAUAAAUUAAUUAUGAUUAAUUCUAAAGUAAGUGUAACUCGUUGCUGAAAUUCUGUUUGACAACUUUAUGUUAGUUGUAAUGUCUAUUUUAUUAUGUCCAAAAUAUAAAGCAGUUUUAUUUAGGUACAUCUUUGAAGGAGUGUUUGCCCAAGUGGGAGAAUUAGUGAACGAAAAUUGGGCUUCAUACUCAUUAACUUAUUUGCAAGUAUAAACUUUGCAAAUUUAGUGGGAGUUGUUAUAAAAUUUCGAGCAUUAAGUGGGCUUGCAUGAAUCUAUUAAAGCGUUAUUCUAUCUCCCAUGAAUUUGUGUUACUCGAAUGUCUAUAAUAUGUUUAAGUUGCACGAAUAGAUACUUGGUAUAUGUGUAGAUUUUUCUGUUACUUGCAAUCAUUUGGAUUUCUCGGUUGAUCAUUUGUUUUGGGGCUCAUAAGGACUUAGAAUAAAUGUGGACUUAUUAAUACAUAUAAGAUGGUUGUUGGAUGCACGUUUUUUGUGUAAACAGCAAGGAAUGCUUUCAUGCUUAGUUGUACCUUUCAUUGAGGUAAUAUGCAUUCAUUGACUAAGUAAGGCUAUUCCCAAAGGCAUAUAUUCAGAAGUAUGAUUUAAGUAUUGAUUUGCAAAUUAAGUAACGAUAUUGCAGAUCAGUGGGAAAUUAAGUUUUGUGUUAGUAAUGCCUUACAUUUGCAGAUGACUUAUAAAGUAUGUAUAGAAUUCAUGUAUUCAUAUUAAUCUCCAGUUGGAUUCAUUAAGUCACAUUUUUUGUGUGCUAGUCAAUCAUUUGAUGAAAUAUAUAUCAGAUAUCAAGUUGUUAUCAAAUUACAUAUUAAAUGUCAUGGCAUGGUUUGUGCGCUACCUCAGUUGUUAGGAUUUCCAUCUUGCCCGCAGGUGUUGGAAAUCAUUAAGAAAGUAACUGGUAUGGUGCAUAGAUCAGUGUCAAAAACAUAUUAAUUCAUCUUGCUCACAAG